GAUGAAGAACGUAGCGAAAAGCGAUAAGUAGUGUGAAUUUCAGAAUUCAGUGAAUCAUCGAAUCUUUGAACGCACAUUGCGCCCUUUGGUAUUCCUUAGGGCAUGCCUGUUCGAGCGUCAUUUAAACCUUCAAGCUAAGCUUGGUGUUGGGUGACUGUCCGCUUCACGGCGGACUCGCCUCAAAAUUAUUGGCGGCCGGUACAUUGGCUUCGAGCGCAGCAGAAACGCGAACUCGGGCCCGUCGUAUUGGCUCCCAGAAGCUAUCUUCACAAUUUUGACCUCGGAUCAGGUAGGGAUACCCGCUGAACUUAAGCAUAUCAAUAAGCGGAGGA
rnacentral:misc_RNA from 1 species